rnacentral:lncRNA from 1 species
GCUUGCUGCCAUGUUGUGAGUAACGCUAUGGAUAUGCCCACAUGGUAUGUUGAGGAACUGAAGCCUUCAGUCCAACAGCCCUGAGAAACUGAAGUCUGCCAACAACAAGGUUGUCUGGUCUCUUUAGGGAACAAAGAAGGAAAGAAAAGACUGAAGGACCCAGGUUGAGAAAGAGAGCAACUGCUUUUCAGGCACCACAUGGUGAUGCUUAGAGCUUCUUCUCCCCUGAACAAGGUGAUGGAAACUUCAGGCAAGAGAGGCCCCAAGUUGGACAAAUCACCAGAAAGCCUGCCAGAAGAAGUCUCCUAAGCAGCCAAGAGAAUAUAGCAGAAACAGAUUUUCUCGUUGGAUUUUGGCCUUUCUACUUUUGAGGCCCAGCUGAAACUAGGAAGGGGAAAAAGCAAAACAAGAAUCAUGAAAAGUUAAAGCUUGAACGUGCCUUAGAGAUUAAUCAGUCCAAGCAUCUCAUCUCACUGAAGAAGGAAGUGGAGUCCAAAGAGAUUUUGUGGAUUGAAAAUUAAAACAGGAAAGAGCACCCUGAUGAAUGGGACCUCAGCUGGAAGACUCUAAGGCUGGAGCUGAAAUAAUCUGAAGAUUUCUUCACUCAUCUGUCUUGCAAUUGAUAUUGGCUGUUAGCUAGGUUCCAAGAAGUAUUGAGUGAGAGAGAGAGACAGAGAGGCAGGGAGAGAGAGAUAAUGAG